rnacentral:rRNA from 1 species
UUUUGAGAGUAAAACUACUAUACUUGGGGACUACGAAAGAUAAUUUUUAAAAUCCAAAAAGCUUGGCGGUGUCUCAGACUUUUCAGGGGAACUUGCUUCCGAAUCGAUGAUCCACGUAGGACCUUACCUUGUUUUGUAAUACUGCUUGCAUACCGUCGUCGUUAGUCUUUGUCCUGAAGAUUAAAGAAGAAGGCGUAAAAAACUAUGAUUUUUUGUGUCAGAUCAGUGUACAGUUUAUGGCAAGGGGGGGGUGAGUUACAAUUAGCAUUUUUAAAACGGAAGUUCCGAGGAAGAAUUAAAUACGGGGCUGAAGGCGGACUUGAAAGUAAGGAUAAUUUAUAAAAAUUUUUUGAACAUAGUUAGGAUGUGUACAAAUCGCCCGUCGCUCUGGCUGAAAAGCGAGAUAAGUCGUAACAUAGUAGGGGUAACGGAAGUUGUCCCUAAAAUAA